rnacentral:lncRNA from 1 species
GUCACCAAUGAGGAUUCAUUGUUAAAUGCCAGCAGGAAAUAGAGGCACCAUAUUUAGAGUGUGUGUUUCAUUUUAGAAAAAUGUAUUUCAACAUUAGAGAUGCUAAAGAUUCAAAAAUAAAUCUUCCCAUUUACAAUAAUCUGCAUUGGUUAUUGUCUGUUUCAAGUGAAUUAACUCAUGGAGGUUUAGGUUUUUAAUAGUCCAAUUUAG